GCAGAUAUUUAACCACACAUACCGUGUGCAUGACGUAAAACUAACCCACAAGAAACGAGUGAGUAUAUUUGGCUGCCUCGAAAGUAAAACGGGAAAGGCGUGGACGACCAAUUACCAGGCCAUCCAGGUCGAUAAAGUGACCUUGAUGUUAUUUAACAUAUUGCGUGACCUAAUCAAAGAUGAGCGCCGCAGGUGACUGCAUCUGAAAGUACGUUUAGCUGUAGAUUAAUUGAUGCGCGUCAACAAUAACAACCAAUACUAUAUUACGUAUACAAGCUAAUUUUUUUUGAAUACUGAGAGAGAAAUAUCCGUGACAAAUACUGAGGAAUAUUGCAUGACAAAUUGAACCGAGCUUUGAAGUACUGACUGCGAACAGAUCCAUAAAUAUUUGUAAAGACUUUGCGAGUUAGGGCCUGUUUUAAUACUUGAAGUUAGAGUUACCCUACUGUUAGCGAUUGUUAGCGUAGUUUUUGUUUUGGUUCCCCCCUGGGGAAAGAAAACAAAAGCUUAUUCCUAGCAUUACGGGCCAUCCAGCCCUCCACGUAUAACAAUAUCUUAAACGACCUCUGGGCUGAUCUAAGUCGUAGAAAGGCUAACUACAAAGAAUAAAUUGGAAAUUUGCGUGUAAGGUUUUGCGGAGGGAAGAAAGUUAAUUAACCGGAGAAACUGGAGCAAAACACUCGAAUCAAGAGAGAGACCUAACAAACUCUACUUACAUGUGAUGCUAAGUACAAGAAUUGAACCACAGAGAGAACAGAUGCGGUAGAAUAAAGAUGAAAAAACCAGCACCCAUGACUAACAGCCCCACACCACACCACUUGGGCUUUCGUCGUCUGGCACCGAGGUAGCUAACCAGAGGAGUAAGGAGAAAGGCUGCAACAUCGUAGCAACUUGUCAACACACCUGUCAUAGAACUAAGAAAUAAUAAUUUCUUCAGUAUGCAGUCCUUCAAGUCCUCGACUGGUCAGAAAAUGUAAAGCGCAUUAAGACGAUGUGAUAAUGCGCUAUAUAACAACCUCCACUAGCGUAGGGAGGGAGGCACCAAAAUUUUAUUAAUUAAUGCAGAAAUCCUGGAUGAAAUCCUGACAACGCCCCUGACAACCUCCGUCAUAAGAAAAAGAAAAAUAAAAUUUCUUGACUUCUGUCAUGUUGCUUGGUACAAUGGCUGCUACAGCAAAGGCGGAUUGUAGCGAAGCCGAAAUAAAUGCUUUAUUUGUAGUUUGCGGUGGGAGAAAAACGAAAGAGAACCGCAAACAAGCAACUCUACUUUACCCACAGGGGCGAGUCCGGGAAACAAACUUAUGAUGACCACAGCGGCGAGAGUAAGGCGACAUAUAUUUACCAAAAUAACUCGAUUUAUUAACAAACUAACUAUAAAUCACAGCUAGUAAAUGUGCAACGGAUUUGGUUAUUUCCGAUUCGUAAAUAUUGAGCAUGAUUGAAUUUGAUUUCAUUAGUAGAACGGAUUUCCUUUCAGUGGGAAAAACUGGGUACACUAAGUCUAAAGCGGUUACUUUACUUAGCCGUACUAGCUUUGAGUAUUCAUUGACAUCAAGCUUGUUAUUGAACCGCGUUGUCUAUACAUCGUACUUAAUAGCAUUACUUUUAGUCUAGCGCUUUUAAUAAAACUUCAAAAUCUUCAA